rnacentral:rRNA from 2 species
CCGGCUUACCAACCCGAUGCAAACUGCGAAUACCGGAGAAUGUUAUCACGGGAGACACACGGCGGGUGCUAACGUCCGUCGUGAAGAGGGAAACAACCCAGACCGCCAGCUAAGGUCCCAAAGUCAUGGUUAAGUGGGAAACGAUGUGGGAAGGCCCAGACAGCCAGGAUGUUGGCUUAGAAGCAGCCAUCAUUUAAAGAAAGCGUAAUAGCUCACUGGUCGAGUCGGCCUGCGCGGAAGAUGUAACGGGGCUAAACCAUGCACCGAAGCUGCGGCAGCGACACUGUGUGUUGUUGGGUAGGGGAGCGUUCUGUAAGCCUGUGAAGGUGUGUCGUGAGGCAUGCU